CAGCCGCCGCGGUAAUACGUAGGGUGCGAGCGUUAAUCGGAAUUACUGGGCGUAAAGCGAGCGCAGACGGUUAUUUAAGCAGGAUGUGAAAUCCCCGGGCUUAACCUGGGAACUGCGUUCUGAACUGGAUAGCUAGAGUGUGUCAGAGGGGGGUAGAAUUCCACGUGUAGCAGUGAAAUGCGUAGAGAUGUGGAGGAAUACCGAUGGCGAAGGCAGCCCCCUGGGAUAACACUGACGCUCAUGCUCGAAAGCGUGGUAGCAAACAGGAUUAGAUACCCCUGUAGUCCCUGUCUCUUAUACA
rnacentral:rRNA from 1 species